rnacentral:rRNA from 1 species
GUUAGGAAUAUUGGACAAUGGGCGCAAGCCUGAUCCAGCCAUGCCGCGUGAACGAUGAAGGCCUUCGGGUUGUAAAGUUCUUUAGCCGAUGAUUAUAAUGACUGUAGUCGGAAAAUAAGCCCCGGCUAACUUCGUGCCAGCAGCCGCGGUAAUACGAAGGGGGCGAGCGUUAUUCGGAAUCACUGGGCGUAAAGCGUGCGUAGGCGGUCUCGUAAGUUAGGAGUGAAAGCCCAGGGCUCAACCUUGGAAUUGCUCUUAAAACUGCAAGGCUCGAAUCUCGGAGAGGAUAGCGGAAUUUCCAGUGUAGCAGUGAAAUGCGUAGAUAUUGGAAGGAACACCAGUGGCGUAAGCGGCUAUCUGGACGAGUAUUGACGCUGAGGCACGAAAGCGUGGGGAUCAAACAGGAUUAGAUACCCGGGUAGUCC